GAUGAACGCUGGCGGCGCGCCUAACACAUGCAAGUCGAACGAUUAAAGCACCUUCGGGUGUGUAUAAAGUGGCGAACGGCUGAGUAACACGUGGGCAACCUGCCCCUCUCAUUGGGAUAGCCACGGGAAACCGUGGAUAAUACCGAAUACUUCGGGACUUCCGCAUGGAAGACCCGAGAAAGCUUCGGCGGGGUGGGAUGGGCCCGCGGCCUGUUAGCUUGUUGGUGGGGUAAUGGCCUACCAAGGCAAUGAUGGGUAGCGGGGUUGAGAGGACGACCAGCCAGAUUGGGACUGAGACACGGCCCAGACUCCUACGGGAGGCAGCAGUGGGGAAUCUUGCACAAUGGGCGAAAGCCUGAUGCAGCGACGCCGCGUGCGGGAUGAAGGCCUUCGGGUUGUAAACCGCUUUCAGCAGGGACGAGGCGAAAGUGACGGUACCUGCAGAAGAAGCCCCGGCUAACUACGUG
rnacentral:rRNA from 1 species